UACGUAGGGUCCGAGCGUUGUCCGGAAUUACUGGGCGUAAAGAGCUCGUAGGUGGUUUGUCGCGUUGUUCGUGAAAACUCACAGCUUAACUGUGGGCGUGCGGGCGAUACGGGCAGACUUGAGUACUGCAGGGGAGACUGGAAUUCCUGGUGUAGCGGUGGAAUGCGCAGAUAUCAGGAGGAACACCAGUAGCGAAGGCGACACUCUGGGCCGGUACUGACGCUGAGGAGCGAAAGCGUGGGGAGCAAACAGG
rnacentral:rRNA from 1 species